rnacentral:lncRNA from 1 species
UUAUAACCGACAGUAAUUUUUAAUCCUUUUUUUAAAAAUAUUUUUGACAGCUUAUGGCUGUUUUUAAGUUAAUUGUGGUGGUUAUAACAUACAUAAAUUGACUAUUUUAUUAUUUUACUUUAUGGCCUUAUUAUUUUAGUAUUAUGGCAGUUAUAACUGACAGAAAUAAAAAUUUUAUUAUUUUAAAAUGUUACAUUGAUUAAAAAUAAUAAAUAAACACAUUUUUUAAAUAUUUUUUUUUCACGCAUGACUCUAAAGUCUAAUGAACCCAAUUCCCAUGAGCCAUAAAUUUUCUGAGAGAAUAAUAACAACAUACUACAAUAUGAGGCUCUUUCAUUUUUGUAAUAAGGAUUAUGCUCCCUCAUAGGCAAGCAACAAGAUACAAAGAAAUUCAAACAAUUUUUUUCAAAGCGUCACAAAGCACAUUGUUUGGCAUAUAAACAUACAUGAACAUCUGGUGUACUCUAUCAUGUCUGAUUUUAUUAUUUUAAAAUGUUAUGUUGAUUAAAAAUAAAUAAAUAAACACAUGUUUUAAAUAUUGUUUUUUUCACUCAUUGCCCUAUCGGAUAUAACCGACACGAACAAAGCAAAAUUUUGGACUCUUCUCUGAAUGUUUUGUUUUUUUUUUUUUUUUUGCGAUUUUUUACACAUGCUAUCUCGGAGUAUAUACAAACCUAUUUGACGGUUGGAUCGUUGAAACUAGUUUCGUAGAAUGCAUAUCCUGCCAAAUUGAUAGAUUUAACAAACAUGUAAGAGUUAAUGUUAUAAGUAUAAGAUAAGAUUUAUCUACUAGUGUAAAUAUUUUAAAUUGAAGAUCGAAUUCAUUCAUUGCAUUCUUAUAGGGUCAAGGAGUGUAGCUGUAAAAAAUCAUCAAAAUCGGAGCUAAAAUAACCGUUAAAUUGUGAUUUUUCGUUUAUAACCAUUGAAAACUUUUGUUCCGUUACCUAAUAUCUGAAUGUUUGUUUUUUGCGAUUUUUUACGUAUGUGAUCUUGGAGUGUGUACAAACAAGUUUUACGAUUGGAUCGUUGAAAAACAUUUCGUAGCAUGCGUAUCACAUCAAAAUGGUAGAUUAAACAAACACUUAGAGUUAAUGUUAUACUUCCCCAUCAAGUAUAAAAUAAGUUUUUGUGGUAUUCACUAGUUUAAAUAUUUUAAAUUAAAGAUCAAAUUUAUUCAUUACAUUCUUAUAGGGUCGAGGAGUGUAGCUGUAAAAAAUUAUCAAAAUCGGAGCUAAAAUAGCUAUUAAAUUGUGAUUUUUUGUUUCUAACCGUCGAAAACUUAUGUUCCGUUACGUAAUCUUUGAAUGCUUUUUUUUUACAAUUUUUUACGUAUGUAAUCUUGGAGUGUGUACAAAUAAGUUUGACGGUUGGAUCGUUGAAAAAAGUUUCGUAGAAUGCAUAUUGUGUCAAAACGGUAGGUUAAACAAACACUUAGAGUUAAUAUUAUACUUCUAUUAAGUAUAACUAGUGUAAAUAUUUUAAAUUAAAGAUCAAAUUUAUUCAUUACAUUCUUAUAGGGUCGAGGAGUGUAGCUGUAAAAAAUCAUCAAAAUCGGAGCUAAAAUAACCGUUAAAUUGUGAUUUUUCGUUUAUAACCGUCGAAAACUUUUGUUCCGUUACGUAUUGAAUGUUUGUUUUUUACAAUUUUUUACGUAUGUAAUAUCGGAGUGUGUACAAAUAAGUUGACGGUUGGAUCGUUGAAAAAAGUUUUGUAGAAUGCAUAUUGCGUCAAAACGGUAGUGGAUCGUUAAAACAAAUUGGUACAUUUUACAAAAAAAUUGGUACAUUUCACAUAUAACAAAGUGAUACAUUAAUAAAGAAGAAUGGGUACAUUAUAAAUAAAUUAGGGUACAUAUAAAAGAUUAAAAAUUAUAAGUACAAAUGAAUUUUUAAAAAUAUAGGCGCUAAAAGAAAUUAAUACAUGGGUACAAAAUAACUAAGAAGAAAAUACUACAAAUUAAAAAAAAAUGUUGCAAAUUAAAAGUGGGUACAAACUAAAAAUAUAAAUAUAUGAUACAAGUUUAGGCAUAAAACAUAAAUAUACCAUAUAUAAUUUUUCUAUCAUUGAUUAAAUAUACAAUGUCACGUUACAGUAUACAUAUAGGUACAAAAAUAUGGGCACAAAAAGAAACUAAUAUAUGGUUACAAAUUAAAAAUGAAAAGAAAAUUCAUACAAAUUAAAAAAUA